UUUAGAGGAACCUGCCCUAUAAACGAUGAACCACGAAUUCCUUACUUUUAUUGGAAUACAGUUUGUAUACCGCUGUUGUCAGUUAGUUUCUUUAGAAAACUUUCAAUUAUGAAAUAAUCAUAGACUUCAAGUAAAGGUGCAGCUUAUAUAAAAGUUAGAGGUGGGUUACAUUUAAGACAAUAAAACGGAUAAGAUUUAUGAAAUAACCUUUGAAGGUGGAUUUAAUUGUAAAGUUUAAAUAAACUUGAUGAGAGC
rnacentral:rRNA from 1 species